rnacentral:lncRNA from 1 species
AGGAAACUGGAAUCACCUGAUUUGAAAGUGGGAUAACUUCUUUCUGACAACUCCUAUGAGAUUUAUUCAACUUCCUGGUGAUUCUCCACCACUUUAUGUAUCCAAAUCAAAUUAAAGACAAUGGAGUCCAUACUUUCUAGGCUUGGGCUCAUUGAUCUUACUCCCAGGAGCUGAUCCCCUUAACCAUGGAGUCUCCACUCUUUUUCCCUCAU